rnacentral:rRNA from 1 species
UACGUAGGGGGCAAGCGUUGUCCGGAAUUACUGGGCGUAAAGAGCAUGUAGGCGGGUAUUUAAGUCAGGAGUGAAAACUAUGGGCUCAACCCAUAGCCUGCUUCUGAAACUGGAUACCUUGAGGGUAUGAGAGGAAAGCGGAAUUCCCAGUGUAGCGGUGAAAUGCGUAGAUAUUGGGAGGAACACCAGUGGCGAAGGCGGCUUUCUGGCAUACAACUGACGCUGAGAUGCGAAAGCGUGGGGAGCAAACGGG